AGUGCGAAUGCUGACAUGAGUAACGACAAUGGGAGUGAAAAACUCCCACGCCGGAAGACCAAGGGUUCCUGCGCAACGCUAAUCGGCGCAGGGUGAGUCGGCCCCUAAGGCGAGACCGAAAGGUGUAGUCGAUGGGAAACGGGUUAAUAUUCCCGUACCUUGGAUAGCUGCGAUGGAGAGACGGAGAAGGCUAGGUGAGCCGGGCGACGGUUGUCCCGGUUUAAGCGAGUAGGGAGAGGACUUAGGCAAAUCCGGGUCCUUAAUCCUGAGACGUGACGACGACUGCUCAUUCGAGCGGGAAGUCAUUGAUGCCCUGCUUCCAGGAAAAUCUUCUAAGCUUCAGGCUAUUCGGGACCGUACCCCAAACCGACACAGGUGGUCAGGUAGAGAAUACCAAGGCGCUUGAGAGAACUCGGGUAAAGGAACUAGGCAAAAUGGUGCCGUAACUUCGGGAGAAGGCACGCCGGUGUGUACGUGAAACCCCUGCGGGUGGAGCGGAAGCCGGUCGAAGAUACCAGGCCCCUGCGACUGUUUAUUAAAAACACAGCACUGUGCUAACACGAAAGUGGACGUAUACGGUGUGACGCCUGCCCGGUGCCGGAAGGUUAAUUGAUGGGGUUAGCGCUUGCGCGAAGCUCUUGAUCGAAGCCCCGGUAAACGGCGGCCGUAACAAUAACGGUCCUAAGGUAGCGAAAUUCCUUGUCGGGUAAGUUCCGACCUGCACGAAUGGUGUAACCAUGGCCACGCUGUCUCCACCCGAGACUCAGUGAAAUUGAAAUCGCAGUGAAGAUGCUGUGUACCCGCACCUAGACGGAAAGACCCCGUGAACCUUUACUAUAGCUUCACAGUGAACUUUGAGCAUGUUUGUGUAGGAUAGCUGGGAGGCUUUGAAGUGGGAACGCCAGUUCUCAUGGAGCCAACCUUGAAAUACCAGCCUGACAUGUUUGAGGUUCUAACUUCGUCCCCUUAUCGGGGAUAAGGACACUGUGUGGUGGGUAGUUUGACUGGGGCGGUCUCCUCCCAAAGCGUAACGGAGGAGCACAAAGGUGGGCUAAGCACGGUCGGACAUCGUGCGGUUAGUGUAAUGGCACAAGCCCGCUUGACUGCGAGACAGACACGUCGAGCAGGUACGAAAGUAGGUCAUAGUGAUCCGGUGGUUCUGUAUGGAAGGGCCAUCGCUCAACGGAUAAAAGGUACUCCGGGGAUAACAGGCUGAUACCGCCCAAGAGUUCACAUCGACGGCGGUGUUUGGCACCUCGAUGUCGGCUCAUCACAUCCUGGGGCUGAAGCCGGUCCCAAGGGUAUGGCUGUUCGCCAUUUAAAGUGGUACGCGAGCUGGGUUUAGAACGUCGUGAGACAGUUCGGUCCCUAUCUGGUGUGGGCGUUGGAUGAUUGAUGGGAGCUGCUCCUAGUACGAGAGGACCGGAGUGGACGAACCGCUGGUGUUCGGGUUGUCAUGCCAAUGGCAUUGCCCGGUAGCUAUGUUCGGAACGGAUAACCGCUGAAAGCAUCUAAGCGGGAAGCCCCUUCCAAGAUGAGAUCUCCCUGGACCCUUGAGGUCCCUGAAGAGCCGUUCAAGACCAGGACGUUGAUAGGUCGGGUGUGUAAGCGCUGCGAGGCGUUGAGCUAACCGAUACUAAUUGCUCGUGCG
rnacentral:rRNA from 11 species